CAGUCGCCGCGGUAAUACGAAGGGGGCUAGCGUUGUUCGGAAUUACUGGGCGUAAAGCGCACGUAGGCGGAUACUUAAGUCAGGGGUGAAAUCCCGGGGCUCAACCCCGGAACUGCCUUUGAUACUGGGUAUCUCGAGUCCGGAAGAGGUGAGUGGAAUUCCGAGUGUAGAGGUGAAAUUCGUAGAUAUUCGGAGGAACACCAGUGGCGAAGGCGGCUCACCGGUCCGGUACUGACGCUGAGGUGCGAAAGCGUGGGGAGCAAACAGGAUUAGAUACCCCGGUAGUCCCUGUCUCUUAUAC
rnacentral:rRNA from 1 species